AGUGAACGCUGGCGGUAGGCCUAACACAUGCAAGUCGAACGGCAGCACAGUAAGAGCUUGCUCUUACGGGUGGCGAGUGGCGGACGGGUGAGGAAUACAUCGGAAUCUACUUUUUCGUGGGGGAUAACGUAGGGAAACUUACGCUAAUACCGCAUACGACCUACGGGUGAAAGCAGGGGAUCUUCGGACCUUGCGCGAUUGAAUGAGCCGAUGUCGGAUUAGCUAGUUGGCGGGGUAAAGGCCCACCAAGUCGACGAUCCGUAGCUGGUCUGAGAGGAUGAUCACCCACCCUGGAACUGAGACACGGUCCAGACGCCUACGGGAGGCAGCAGUGGGGAAUAUUGGACAAUGGGCGCAAGCCUGAUCCAGCCAUACCGCGUGGGUGAAGAAGGCCUUCGGGUUGUAAAGCCCUUUUGUUGGGAAAGAAAAGCAGCAGGUUAAUACCCCGCUGUUCUGACGGUACCCAAAGAAUAAGCACCGGCUAACUUCGUG
rnacentral:rRNA from 1 species